rnacentral:rRNA from 1 species
GGCUAACCUACCCUCAGGACAGGGACAAACCCGGGAAACUGGGGCUAAUACCCGAUAGGCGAGGGCGCCUGGAAUGGUUCUUCACCCAAAGGGCUUUGGAAGCAUGCUUUUCAAAGUCGCCUGGGGAUGGGGCCGCGUCCGAUCAGGUUGUUGGUGAGGUAACGGCUCACCAAGCCUAUAACCGGUACGGGCCGUGAGAGCGGUAGCCCGGAGAUGGGCACUGAGACAAGGGCCCAGGCCCUACGGGGCGCAGCAGUCGCGAAAACUCCGCAAUGCACGAAAGUGUGACGGGGCUACCCCGAGUGCCGUCCGCUGAGGAUGGCUUUUCCUCGGUGUAACUAGCCGGGGGAAUAAGGAGAGGGCAAGACUGGUGUCAGCCGCCGCGGUAAUACCAGCUCUCCGAGUGGUAGGGAUGAUUAUUGGGCUUAAAGCGUCCGUAGCCGGCUUAGCAAGUCUCCUGUUAAAUUCAGCGACCUAAUCGUUGAGCCGCGGGAGAUACUACUAAGCUAGGAGGCGGGAGAGGCCGACGGUACUUCCGGGGUAGGGGUGAAAUCCUAUAAUCCCGGGCGGACCACCAGUGGCGAAGGCUGUCGGCUAGAACGCGCUCGACGGUGAGGGACGAAAGCUGGGGGAGCGAACCGGAUUAGAUACCCGGGUAGUCCCAGCCGUAAACGAUGCGGGCUAGGUGUUGGGGUGGCUACGUGCCACUUCAGUGCCGCAGGGAAGCCAUUAAGCCCGCCGCCUGGGGAGUACGGCCGCAAGGCUGAAACUAA